rnacentral:rRNA from 1 species
CCGCAUGAACUCCUUGAGCUUAAGGAGGAAAUCGAUAAAUCUCUUCAAAGUGGUUUCAUUCGCCCAAGUUGCUCUCCUUGGGGAGCACCUUCUCUCUUUGUCAAGAAGAAAGAUGGGACAAACCGAUUGGUCCAAGACUACCGUCCUAUAAAUCAAGCUACCAUUCAGAAUAAGUAUCCUCUUCCUCGGAUCAAUGAUCUGUAUGAUCAAUUGGCUGGAUCAUCAGUGUUCUCUAAACUCGACUUGAGGUUGGGUUACCACCAGAUCCGUGUUCGUGAGGAAGAUAUCCCCAAGACCGCAUUCGUGACUCGAUACGGAUCUUACGAGUACACCGUCAUGUCUUUCGGCUUAACCAAUGCUCCAGCCACCUUCUCUCGCCUGAUGAACUAUAUAUUCAUGGAUUACCUCGACAAGUUCGUCGUGGUUUAUCUGGAUGAUAUUCUGGUAUUUUCCAAGAACGAAGAGGAGCAUGCUGAACAUCUUCGCCUCGUGCUGGAAAAGCUACGAGAGCAUCAGCUUUAUGCCAAGUUCUCCAAAUGUGAAUUCUGGCUUCCCGAAGUAACCUAUCUUGGGCAUGUCAUCUCUAAGGAUGGUAUUGCCGUCAACCCUGAACGAGUUCAGGCUAUUCUCGAUUGGACUCCUCCGAAGAACGUUAAGCAAGUCAGAAGUUUUCUCGGUCUCGCCAGCUACUGCCGUCGAUUCGUCGAGAACUUCUCCAAGAUUGCCAGGCCUCUGACUAACCUAUUGCAUAAGGGCGUCAAGUUCCAAUGGACAGAUAGAUGUCAGGAAAGCUUCCAGGCACUCAAGGACAAGUUGACUUCUGCCCCAGUACUAGCUCCUCCUGAUACUAAGAAGGACUUCGUCAUUUACUGCGACGCUUCCCGUCAAGGACUAGGCUGUGUCCUAAUGCAAGAGCUCAAAGUGGUUGCUUAUGCCUCUCGGCAAUUGCGCCCUCACGAGGAGAACUACCCAGUUCACGACCUCGAACUUGCUGCUGUCAUUCAUGCACUAAAACAGUGGCGACAUUACCUGCUCGGUAAU